GGAGUUGUAGCUCAGUGGCAGAGCACACGGCUGUUAACGUCGGCUGUUAACCGUGGUGUCAGGAGUUCGAUCCUCCUCUUCUCCU
rnacentral:tRNA from 1 species